rnacentral:hammerhead_ribozyme from 1 species
ACACUGCUGAAGAGUCCUACAAUAGAACGAAACAACUGUCCAGUAU